AUACGUAGGGGGCGAGCGUUGUCCGGAAUGAUUGGGCGUAAAGGGCGCGUAGGCGGCGCGGUAAGUCUGGAGUGAAAGUCCUGCUUUCAAGGUGGGAAUUGCUUUGGAUACUGCCGCGCUUGAGUGCAGGAGAGGUUAUCGGAAUUCCCGGUGUAGCGGUGAAAUGCGUAGAGAUCGGGAGGAACACCAGUGGCGAAGGCGGGUAACUGGACUGCAACUGGCGCUGAGGCGCGAAAGUGUGGGGAGCAAACAGGAUUAGAUACCCUGGUAGUCCACACUGUAAACGAUGAAUGCUAGGUGUAAGAGGUAUCGACCCCUUUUGUGCCGGAGUCAACACAAUAAGCAUUCCGCCUGGGGAGUACGGCCGCAAGGUUGAAACUUAAAGGAAUUGACGGGG
rnacentral:rRNA from 1 species